AGCUCCAAUAGCGUAUAUUAAAGUUGUUGCAGUUAAAAAGCUCGUAGUUGAAAUUUGGGUCUGGCUGACCGGUCCGCCUCACCGCGUGUACUGGCUCGGCCGGGUCUUUCCUUCUGGGGAAGCCCAUGGCCUUCACUGGCUGUGUGGGGGAACCAGGACUUUUACUUUGAAAAAAUUAGAGUGUUCAAAGCAGGCCUUUGCUCGAAUACAUUAGCAUGGAAUAAUGGAAUAGGACGGCUUUCCUAUUUUGUUGGUUUCUAGGAGAGCCGUAAUGAUUAAUAGGGACAGUCGGGGGCAUCAGUAUUCAAUUGUCAGAGGUGAAAUUCUUGGAUUUAUUGAAGACUAACUACUGCGAAAGCAUUUGUCAAGGAUGUUUUCA
rnacentral:rRNA from 1 species